rnacentral:rRNA from 1 species
CCCUACGGGGNGCANCAGUCGCGAAAACUUUGCAAUACACGAAAGUGUGACAGGGCUAUCCCGAGUGCCAUCCGCUGAGGAAGGCUUUUACCCAGUCUAGAACGCUGGGGGAAUAAGGAGAGGGCAAGUCUGGUGUCAGCCGCCGCGGUAA